GGACUACCGGGGUAUCUAAUCCUGUUUGCUCCCCUAGCUUUCGUGCAUCAGCGUCAGUUAUGGUCCAGUGAGCCGCUUUCGCCACAGGUGUUCCUCCUGAUAUCUACGCAUUUCACCGCUACACCAGGAAUUCCACUCACCUCUCCCACACUCAAGCCCGGCAGUUUCUCGUGCAGACUCUGAGUUGAGCCCAGAGAUUUCACACAAGACUUACCAAACCGCCUACGCACCCUUUACGCCCAAUAAUUCCGAACAACGCUCGCCCCCCUCGUAUUACCGCGGCUGCUGGCAC
rnacentral:rRNA from 1 species